AGCGAACGCUGGCGGCAGGCCUAACACAUGCAAGUCGAACGAGACCUUCGGGUCUAGUGGCGGACGGGUGAGUAACACGUGGGAACGUGCCUUUAGGUUCGGAAUAACUCAGGGAAACUUGUGCUAAUACCGAAUGUGCCCUUCGGGGGAAAGAUUUAUCGCCUUUAGAGCGGCCCGCGUCUGAUUAGCUAGUUGGUGAGGUAAUGGCUCACCAAGGCUACGAUCAGUAGCUGGUCUGAGAGGAUGGCCAGCCACAUUGGGACUGAGACACGGCCCAAACUCCUACGGGAGGCAGCAGUGGGUAAUCUUGCGAAAUGGGCGAAAGCCUGACGCAGCCAUGCCGCGUGAAUGAUGAAGGUCUUAGGGUUGUAAAGUCCUUUUAACGGGGAAGAUAAUGACGGUACCCGUAGAAUAAGCCCCGGCUAACUUCGUGCCAGCAGCCGCCGUAACAC
rnacentral:rRNA from 1 species